GACGAACGCUGGCGGCGUGCUUAACACAUGCAAGUCGAACGGUAAGGCCCUUCGGGGUACACGAGUGGCGAACGGGUGAGUAACACGUGGGUGAUCUGCCCUGCACUUCGGGAUAAGCCGGGGAAACUGGGCGUAAUACCGGAUAGGACCACUGCCUGCAUGGGUGGUGGUGGAAAGCUUUUGCGGUGUGGGAUGGGCCCGCGGCCUAUCAGCUUGUUGGUGGGGUGAUGGCCUACCAAGGCGACGACGGGUAGCCGGCCUGAGAGGGUGACCGGCCACACUGGGACUGAGAUACGGCCCAGACUCCUACGGGAGGCAGCAGUGGGGAAUAUUGCACAAUGGGCGCAAGCCUGAUGCAGCGACGCCGCGUGAGGGAUGACGGCCUUCGGGUUGUAAACCUCUUUCAGCACCGACGAAGCGCAAGUGACGGUAGGUGCAGAAGAAGGACCGGCCAACUACGUGCCAGCCGCCGCGGUAA
rnacentral:rRNA from 1 species